rnacentral:rRNA from 1 species
UACAGAGGGUGCAAGCGUUGUUCGGAAUUACUGGGCGUAAAGCGUGCGUAGUCGGUAUUGAGAGUCGCGGGUGAAAUCCCAGGGCUUAACCCUGGAACUGCCUGCGAGACCUCAGUACUAGAGUGUGAGGGGGAUAGUGGAAUGCCAAGUGUAGCGGUGAAAUGCGUAGAGAUUUGGCGGAACACCGGUGGCGAAGGCGGCUAUCUGGCUCACAACUGACGAUCAGGCACGAAAGCGUGGGGAGCAAACAGG